rnacentral:lncRNA from 1 species
GUCCCAUUUAUCAUCUUCCGUCAGAGGUCUUCACCACUGCCAUAAUGGGAAUUUAUUGUAUGGCUUUGUGAGGACAGAGACGAGCUGGUUCCCGUUUUGCACAGCAAUGUGGUGAUGUGUAUCACAGACACUGCCGAGCGCCGAGGUUGGGAAUUUAUGCUGCGUUUCUGACUUUGUAUGGUCGGGAAGGAAACACUUUUCUUCAGCAUCUCCACAGAAGGCCUCCUUGGGGCUUGGUGCUCCCGUCUCAGCCUCCAAAGGUGGGCUCCAGUCUCCUGGGUCAGUUAGAAGGGCAACUUCAAGGACCAUCAGAUUUCACUCAAGAGUUGGUGGUAAGUGGAGUUGGUGGAGAAAGCAGAGGUUUACUAUGGACCAGAAGUUCAUGAUUCUAUACAAAUAUAGAGAAAGGUUCUCUUGGUGACAUUUUCUUUUCUGUCUGUAAAGAUAAUACAUUAUCAUUUUACAAGUUCAUAUAAUAG